CCUAGAUGAAUCUCCAGAGAACUGAGCUGAGUGAUAAAAAGCAAUCCUGAAAGAUAAUUGACAGCAAAAGAAAAGAAAAGGUCACUAAGAGCAUUUACAGAGAGCAAUUAUAAUGCUGAAAUUUAAAUACAUGAUGGACAAAAAAGGAAAUUUAGGAACUCUUAAAGGGGCCUCAUGAUUGAUAAUGAAAGAAAGGGUGGAGGCCAUGGAUGCGAUGGAACUCAAGAUGUUAAAGAGAACUCUAAUGCAAGGAGGGAGUCAUCAGGAAGACACCUGCGUAAAUGAUAGUACCAAGGAGAGGGUGAUAAGAAAAUUCUGAAUACAGCCUUUUCAAAGGAGUUGGGACUUUUGAGUGUUUCUACAGACUCCCAUGAGAUUUCUAUGGCAAGAAUUCAAGAAUUUAACAGAUGACUCACUGAUAAAAAAUUCAAAAGAGAAGGUCCAUAUUUUAUGACAAUUUCUAAGUGAAGUGUCUGGCAUGCUCCAAGUUCACAGCCACCUCAAUCACACUAAUGGAUCUGUUUGGAUCAUGAUAUAAACCUACAUGGAUACAAAAUAGAAACUUGGAAUCCUGAAAAUUCACCUCAAAAAAUAAGAAUACCAUUGUCUUUGGUUGACCCAUUUGUUACAUAGCCUCAACUAAACCCUGGACAACAAAAUGAAUGUAAAUAUAUGUUAUGAGAAAACUGAUACAUGGAAAACCUGAUUAACUGCUUCACUCAACCCUGGUGACCAACAUAGGGUCAUACCAGAUCCUGGUGGCUUGCAUUCAGAGGCUACAUUAAUGAGAUGCUCAAAAAUAUGCCUGACUUCCCAUGUAGUCUGCAGAGGUUGAUGGGUACUCUGUUCAGUGACUACUCCAUCAAUGAGUAGAUGCAAUAAGUGACUAAUGUUAAGAAUGUAAAUUACCAGAAAGGGGAAAAAAUGGGUUAGUUUUGAUUUUCUCAAGGUUCAAGAUGCCCAAUUAUUGAAUUUUGCUGAGUUUCUCUCAGAGUACUAAAAGGAAGAUAUUUACAUGCUUUCUGUGAAUUGACACAAAUCAUGUAAGUAUCACAUAUAAAUUAAAUUAGCCAAGAUAACCAAUACGUACCUAAGUUUGAACCAUAUACUGAUUCCAUGAAAAUGUUAUCAAUAAAAUUAGAAUCUUGCAUUGGUUGAAAUGCUAAAUAUUUGAUUACAUACACACAUAUUUACACACAAAGGAUUUUUCUGCAUUAAUAUUUAAGUAAGUUUCUUUAAAAAAUAAAUCAAUUGUGAAGAUUUCUAAUUUUAAUUGUGUUGCUAUUUAUUUUGGUUUUAUGUAAUCCAAUGGAUAUCAACUUUAAAAUCAAAUAUAUUAUUCCUCACUAAUGAAAUAUAACUGAAGAUACUAGCUAUAGAAGCCUGCACUUAGCACAACAUAUUUAUAAAACUGAGAUGUUUAAAGUGUUAACUUAUAGAAAUACACAGAUUUUUAAAUCAUUACCUCUUUUUUUUAAAAAAAAUGUAUAUUUUGAGAGAGAGAGGGGGGCAAGACAUGAGUGAGAAUUGGG